CCUACGGGGUGCUGCAGUGAGGAAUAUUGGUCAAUGGGCGGAAGCCUGAACCAGCCAAGUCGCGUGAGGGAUUAAGGCCCUGCGGGUCGUAAACCUCUUUUGCCGGGGAGCAGUGGUCCGGACGCGUCCGGACCGGGAGAGUACCCGGAGAAAAAGCAUCGGCUAACUCCGUGCCAGCAGCCGCGGUAAUACGGAGGAUGCGAGCGUUAUCCGGAUGUAUUGGGUUUAAAGGGUGCGUGGGCGGGCAUUUAGGCCGGCGGGCAAAUGUCGGGGCUCAAACCCGGCCGGCCGUCGGAACUGGGUGCCUUGAGUGGGCGAGAAGUAUGCGGAAUGCGGGGUGUAGCGGUGAAAUGCAUAGAUAUCACGCAGAACCCCGAUUGCGAAGGCAGCAUACCGGCGCCCUACUGACGCUGAGGCACGAAAGUGCGGGUAUCGAACAGGAUUAGAUACCCUUGUAGUC
rnacentral:rRNA from 1 species